CUACUCCGAACUUCUACUGUGAGCGGUCUACUUCGAACUCCUACAGUGAGUGAUCUGGUCUGAACUCCUACAGUGGGCGGUCUACUCCGGAUCUCUAUUGUGAGCAAAUUCCAUUCGAGCCCUUAUUGUAAACAUGUCUCUUCCAAACUUCCAUUACAGGUAGACUUCAGUCGAGCUUCUUCAUAGUCGGAUCCCAGACGAGCUUCUACAGCGGGACAGGACCCACCAGCC
rnacentral:lncRNA from 1 species